GAUGAACGCUAGCUACAGGCUUAACACAUGCAAGUCGAGGGACCGGCGCACGGGUGAGUAACACGUAUCCAACCUGCCCUUUACUCGGGGAUAGCCUUUCGAAAGCAAGAUUAAUACCCGAUAUAAAGGAUGGGGAUGCGUUCCAUUAGGUUGUUGGUGAGGUAACGGCUGACCAAGCCUUCGAUGGAUAGGGGUUCUGAGAGGAAGGUCACCGACAUUGGAACUGAGACACGGUCCAAACGCGUACGAGAGGCAGCAGUUAGGAAGAGUGGGAAAUGGGCGCUAGCCUGAACCAGCCAGGUAGCGUGAAGGAUGAAGGCUUAUAGAGCGUAAACUUCUGUUAUAGAAGAAUAUGUAUUAGAUGAAUAAGGAUCGGCUAACUCCGUGCCAGCAGCCGCGGUAAUUC
rnacentral:rRNA from 1 species